AUGGUUUGGUUUAAAAAAUAAAUGAAAUAAAAAUAAAAAUAAAUCUGUUCUUAUCAGUUUAAUAUCUGAUACGUCCCCCAUCGGGGGACUACAUAUUAAAUGGAUUUUUCGAACAGGGAGUCGGAAAUGGGGCUUGCUCCGUCCGCUCCACGCAUCGACCCGGUAUUGCAGUACCUCCGGGAACGGUGCAACACUU
ensembl:snRNA U2 U2 spliceosomal RNA